rnacentral:tRNA from 1 species
GAGGGUAUAGCUCAGUGGUAGAAUGUGUGCUUAGCAUGCACAAGGUCCUGGGUUCAAUCCCCAGUACCUCCA